AUUGAACGCUGGCGGCAGGCCUAACACAUGCAAGUCGAGCGGAUGAAGGGAGCUUGCUCCUGGAUUCAGCGGCGGACGGGUGAGUAAUGCCUAGGAAUCUGCCUGGUAGUGGGGGAUAACGUCCGGAAACGGGCGCUAAUACCGCAUACGUCCUGAGGGAGAAAGUGGGGGAUCUUCGGACCUCACGCUAUCAGAUGAGCCUAGGUCGGAUUAGCUAGUUGGUGGGGUAAAGGCCUACCAAGGCGACGAUCCGUAACUGGUCUGAGAGGAUGAUCAGUCACACUGGAACUGAGACACGGUCCAGACGCCUACGGGAGGCAGCAGUGGGGAAUAUUGGACAAUGGGCGAAAGCCUGAUCCAGCCAUGCCGCGUGUGUGAAGAAGGUCUUCGGAUCGUAAAGCACUUUAAGUUGGGAGGAAGGGCAGUAAGUUAAUACCUUGCUGUUUUGACGUUACCAACAGAAUAAGCACCGGCUAACUUCGUG
rnacentral:rRNA from 1 species